GACGAACGCUGGAGGCGUGCUUAACACAUGCAAGUCGAACGAUGAAAUGGAGCUUGCUCCAUGGAUUAGUGGCGAACGGGUGAGUAACACGUGAAUAACCUGCCCUUAAUUUUGGAAUAACCCAGGGAAACCUGGGCUAAUACCGGAUAAGUAAACCUGUGGCAUCACAUGGUUUUGGAAAGUUUUUCGAUUAAGGAUGGAUUCGCGGCCUAUCAGCUUGUUGGUGAGGUAAUGGCUCACCAAGGCGACGACGGGUAGCCGGCCUGAGAGGGUGAACGGCCACACUGGGACUGAGACACGGCCCAGACUCCUACGGGAGGCAGCAGUGGGGAAUAUUGCGCAAUGGACGAAAGUCUGACGCAGCGACGCCUCGUGAGGGACGAAGGUCUUCGGAUUGUAAACCUCUUUCAGCAGGGACGAAGCGAAAGUGACGGUACCUGCAGAAGAAGCACCGGCUAACUAUGUGCCAGCAGCCGCCGUAA
rnacentral:rRNA from 1 species